AUGAGAUGAUCACAAAGCAUCUGACUGCACGGAGGGCAAACGCUAUGAGGACAGGAGGCCCUGAGAAAGGAUGGUGGGGGAGGCCCCAGGGAACCCCUUGCCUGAACUCUGGGCUGAAGGCUGAGCUCAAUGUGGCGGGGACACGGGGGCCUGUGCUUGGGCUGCUUCACCCACUAGUUUGUCCUACUUGUCCGUUUCCUCGCCUGAACUCAGAGGAGGGCACAGAGUAGCCCCCAGCAGUAUUUGCUGGGAGAAUGGAGCCCAGUGUCUGUCUGAUGAGGAAGGAUGCCAUAUCUGGGCGCCGAGAGGGCGAUGAGGUCAGUGCCUGAUGGAGACUGGCACAGGCAGGAAAUGAGGCAGGUGUGGCAGGAAGGGCCAGGGGCACAGGCCUCACCAGGAAUCGGCAUUCACAUCCCCUGUAUUCCCACAGUGACACCGGCUGGGGCAGGAGCUCUGGGAGAAGGUCCAGCUCCUCCAUGGCUCCCCCUGCCUCCCUCUGGUUCAUGGAGCCCACUGGGACAACCCUGAGCACCCUCUCCCCUCUCCUCUCUUUCAUCCUCUCCCGUGGGGCAUCUAUGACCUGGAAGGCACUGGGGAAACAGAGGUGAAGCAAGACGGCCAGGUGGCAGGCCACUGCAACAGACGAGGUUGGCAGCACCGAAGCAGUCCAGCCAACCUGGAGAAGCCCUGGACACCCACUCCUGUCCUCAGAACGUGAAAGACGGUCACGCUACUGCAGAUGGAGAGCGUGUUGGACACAGCUUGUCCACAGAGUUUCCAAUACGCAUGGGAAGAUGCAACAAAGCUAGACAGCAGCUACCGGGAAAACGAACCAAAAUAAAAGUGCAAGACAUAUCA